GAUGAACGCUGGCGGCGUGCUUAACACAUGCAAGUCGAGCGAUGAAGUUUCCUUCGGGAAACGGAUUAGCGGCGGACGGGUGAGUAACACGUGGGUAACCUGCCUCAUAGAGUGGAAUAGCCUUCCGAAAGGAAGAUUAAUACCGCAUAACGUUGAAAGAUGGCAUCAUCAUUCAACCAAAGGAGCAAUCCGCUAUGAGAUGGACCCGCGGCGCAUUAGCUAGUUGGUGGGGUAACGGCCUACCAAGGUGACGAUGCGUAGCCGACCUGAGAGGGUGAUCGGCCACAUUGGGACUGAGACACGGCCCAGACUCCUACGGGAGGCAGCAGUGGGGAAUAUUGCACAAUGGGGGAAACCCUGAUGCAGCAACGCCGCGUGAGUGAUGAAGAUUUUCGGAUCGUAAAGCUCUGUCUUUGGGGAAGAUAAUGACGGUACCCAAGGAGGAAGCCACGGCUAACUACGUGCCAGCCGCCGCCGUAAAAC
rnacentral:rRNA from 1 species